UCUGCCUGGUCGUAACCCUAGGUAAAAAAUGAAAUGGGGAAGCGUCUACACUUUGGGAUCCAGAGCCACCACCAGUUAUCGCUUCACCUCACUUCGCGGCGCGGCGCGGCGGUGGGUUUCGUUUCGUUCUUCUCUUUCGCAGCACGAACACGGCGCUGCCGGCCACUCGGCGGUACCGCGGGUUCGUCUUGGUCUUCUUCCUCCUCGGGUAGACCGCCGCGUUCGGACAAGGCGGCCAGCUGCCGCGUAACGUCCGGGGGGUUCGGCGGGUCGGCGGGCAGGGGCAGGGUCUAGGCGGCGGAAGUAGCGGACGUCAGUGGCCAAGGAGUAGCCGGGUGGCCUUGGUCGGCGGCGGCAGCCCCUGUGUCGUAGCCAGCGUCGUCCCGGUGAGCCCGGCGAGAGGAGCCCCGUCGAGUGCGCCCCCCGCGAGGAAGGUGGGCAUGUAGUUCGCCAGCGCCAGCGCCUGCGGUUGGCGGCGGCCAGCUGCCACGUCGCUUCGGCGGCCAGCAGCCGCGUAACGCCGGGGGGGUUCACCGGGUCGGCUGGCAGGUGGGGCUAGGCGGCGGAAGUAGCGGCCGCCAGUAGCCAAGGAGUAGCCGGCCGGUUUUGGACGGCAGCGGCUACAGAGGGAGAGGCCCUUGUGACGUCGUCCCGUCGUGCCCGGCGAGGAUGGUGGGUGGGGGGAGCGCGCCAGCGCCUUGGGUUCUUUAUGGUGGCCCGUCGAGGCGGAGUGGUGUGGCGAGCGGCGGGGAACGGGGAGACGUGUCUCGGCCCGUCGUAGUUGUUGUUGUCGAGUCGUCGUUUUUGUCGAAUGACCGUUUGAGUGAAGAUCUCUAGGAUUCUCCGAUGUAUGAGCUGCCGCUUUUUACGCGGGAAAUGUUCCGUCUCCAACGGAGUGACCGAUCUGCUCCGACAAGCCAAGAAUGACAGCUGAAACUCGUGGAGGAAUGGUUAUAACUAGAGCGAGAGCGGUAACCGUUACUGUUACUGUCGAGUAUAGUCACCGAUUCUAGUCACCAUGCACGGAAGAAGUUACUCGUCACGUUACUCUACUUCUUGCUCGUCUCCUUCUUUAAACAACUCCCCCGAUCACAAAGAAAGUCAUUGUUCGGAUAUCUUCAAAAGGGUGACUGUCUUCAGUUCCGUUUUUUUCUUCUGGAACACUCCUAGUAAUUUUAGUAGGCACCUGUCCUUUGUACAUCUCGACGUUCGUGAAAACCGUGCCUUAAUAUAAACCGGUAGAACGAUAAACACGAACCGUUCGUGUCCCAACCCGUUUCGACCCUACCGCUGAAACGGCUCGUCCUGCAGAUAAAGAAGUCUAUAGAUCCGGCCGGCAACCUCACGGCGUAAGACUUUUCGUGUUGCGGUUCAGGGCACCGUGAAAGAUUUGCUCUGUAGAAGUUAGAACUCGUCACGUGUGGGAACCUCUCCUUCUUGCUAAAACCCUGUCACCUGCACGAGUACUGUGGUUUAAUACUCCUACGUCUACCGUUCAACGGACAGAAAGAACUACUUAACGUACUCCUGAACUUCCUGCGUGACGGAAGUUGACAACAGGUUGUUACCAAGUAACCCUUAGACCUUAAGUUAAACCGAAAUUACAGUAGGCGCCGUUCCUUCUAAGACUGCCAACGGUAGUCAUUAGAUUAGUCUAGCGAGUUCAACAGGAGGUUGCUUCUAAUAGCGUCCUAUAACUGCCUUGGUGGUAUAGGCGCACUAACCGCACACUCCAAAGUUCUACUACUCCCACAUUACCCUCCGUAGAUAACCAUGCUCUUACUUCUCUCUCUAUUUCUAUUCUUAGAUAUGUUUUUAUGAUACCUUUCACACUAACUCAUACGUUUCUUGUGAGUACUGGUGACGGUAUUCAUAAACCUCCCACUUUUCGCCGAUCUACUAAAACUACUUUCGCUCAACGAGUAUCGACAUUUCGACGGGCCCCACAAUCCUUUCGAUCACUUUCUAGAGUACUUCGAUUUGAACUACCUCCUGAACGACCGCCUUCACUCCCGGUAGAUAACAAGUAGGUCCAGUCGAGUUUUCCUCGGUCGUUGCCGUUACGACAUACACGUGCUGCUCCACGUACCCUGUGUUUUACUCUGGUGCCUUGUUUCACCUCUUGCGACUGACGCUGUUCCAACCGACCUUCUCUCACCCCACUGGACUGGACUGGAUUGGACUGCCACCCUCAAACAUUUCGUAGACGUCAAAUCACAUCGUAAGACCGCGGCCUCUCGUCAACCUACUACCGAGACUCGGAGCGAUACAUACAUGAGGGAGGCAAGCCUUAAUGAACAGAGCCUUUACCUACAUAGAUCUUGAUUUUAUGCAGAUCUAUGUAGGUAAAGACGCUGUUCAUUAAGGCUUGCCUCCCUCAUUGAACCUCGCGACACCACCAUAAAAAACAGGUGCCUAAUUGAGCCUUCCUAAGAACUUUGGGUCAGCUUACACAACAUCACAUGCAUGAUCCACUCUAGCUACAACCUUGAACGUACCGAACUCACGGACAUCGAGAUCAAACCAUCGUCUCCCAUACAGCACAUCCCCUCUGACACCAACCUUAAAGAUACGGAUAGACCGCGCUGGUAUUCAACCUAAACUUAAACGCACAACCAAGUAAAACACUAAUGUAUCCUCAUUAAGGAUAACACAGAGUAGAACACGACGAUUUCGCUCCCCAACGUAUCGACUCCACCAAAGGGUUCUACUUCUCACCCAAACAUCGUCGGGUAACGUUAACUCGUUAUAGACGACGAGACACCGGCUCGAAGUAGACGACUCGUAAAACGUCGUAGUCGCGUGACGUUAACACAGGGAAGAGAACGGACUGCGGAUCGUACAAAGGACAAAACCAAAACAAACGGCAACGGCCGGCCACGACAACGCCGCCUCAACCGGUCAAAUACGAGCAGCAAAGAACCCACCACAAAAAGGACUACCACGAGAAAACAACGUCGUCUAAACCUCACAAGAAAGUACAGUAAGUCCAACUGGACUCUCCUCUUACACUCUAACUAAAACUUUGAACGUACCGAAGUUACGGAC
rnacentral:rRNA from 1 species